rnacentral:rRNA from 1 species
CUGUUGAUCCUGCCGGACUGACUGCUAUCGGAUUGGUACUAAGCCAUGCGAGUCGUUGUACAUACAAGGCGGACUGCUCAGUAACACGUAGUUAACUUAACCUAUGGAUGGGCAUAACCUCGGGAAACUGAGAAUAAUACCCAAUGGACCACAGUGCCUGGAAUGGCCUGUGGUUGAAAUGAUUUAUCGCCGUAGGAUAGGACUGCGGCCUAUCAGCUUGUUGGUGAGGUAAUGGCCCACCAAGGCUAUAACAGGUACGGGCUCUGAGAGGAGGGGCCCGGAGAUGGGUACUGAGACACGGACCCAGGCCCUAUGGGGCGCAGCAGGCGAGAAACCUUUGCAAUGUGCGAAAGCACGACAAGGUUAAUCCGAGUGUCUCCUGCUAAAGGAGUCUUUUGUCAGUUGUAGAAUCACUGGUGAAUAAGGGGUGGGCAAGUUCUGGUGUCAGCCGCCGCGGUAAAACCAGCACCUCGAGUGGUCAGGAGGUUUAUUGGGCCUAAAGCAUCCGUAGCCGGUUGCAUAAGUUUUCGGUUAA